rnacentral:rRNA from 1 species
AGAGUUUGAUCCUGGCUCAGAUUGAACGCUGGCGGCAUGCCUUACACAUGCAAGUCGAACGGCAGCGCGGGGGCAACCCUGGUGGCGAGUGGCGAACGGGUGAGUAAUAUAUCGGAACGUACCCAGUAGUGGGGGAUAACUAUCCGAAAGGAUAGCUAAUACCGCAUACGAUCUGUGGAUGAAAGCAGGGGAUCUUCGGACCUUGUGCUAUUGGAAUGGCCGAUAUCUGAUUAGCUAGUUGGUAGGGUAAAAGCCUACCAAGGCGACGAUCAGUAGCUGGUCUGAGAGGACGACCAGCCACACUGGAACUGAGACACGGUCCAGACUCCUACGGGAGGCAGCAGUGGGGAAUUUUGGACAAUGGGGGCAACCCUGAUCCAGCAAUGCCGCGUGAGUGAAGAAGGCCUUCGGGUUGUAAAGCUCUUUUGUCAGGGAAGAAACGGUGAUCUC